UGUUUGCUCUUGGAGUCUGAGUCGCCCUCUGUGCUCGAGGCGGUGCUCACCUUGACCCUAUCACUGGUUAAAGCUAACAGACAUGGAAUAGAGAUAAAUAAUGGAUGGCCUAUGGGCUCAACUGGGGGCUGUUUGCUUUCACUGGAGAGGGUAACAAAUGCAUCAAGAGAAUAGAGUGAGAGGAACGUUAUUUUGAGGAGCAUUUUUUCAAUUUAAACGGAUAUUUUUCAAUCACCCUACCCCCCCCCCCCCCCCCCUGAAGUGGAGUGAGUGAUUUCACCCUCUUUAUCAUAUCAUCUGUUCUUCUUCAUCUCGCUUUCUCUUUCAGUUUCUCCUCCGCUUUGCCUCCUCCCUCGUGAAUAAUUUCCCCACCAACCUCUCGCCUCCGCUCUGUGCUCUUUGUCUCUCUCUCUCUCUCUCUCUCCCUCCCUCUUUCUUCUCUCUCUUUCUCCUUCUUUCUUCCCCUCAAUCUUUCUCCUUGUCACUCUCGUUUUUUUACUCCUGCAUCUCAAGAGAGGAAGGCAACAUGCUCUUUUAAAGCCGGUUGUUUUCUUUCUCAUCUUUCUCCGUUUCUCUCCUUCCUCUCCUCCUCCUAUUCUCCGCUCGCAUCCCUGCAAUCAAGACCAACACGCCCCUUCUGCUCAGACUUCCAACCCCCACCUCCGCUUGUGCUCUGAGUGCGCUCUCGAUCGGGGCAGAACGGCUACAGAGGUGGCAGGGGGGGGGGGAGUCAGACAAAACCAGAUGAGAAUUGCCCCUCUAAAGGCGGCGUCGACGUCAGAGAGGGACGCUGUUCACAUCAGCGGAUGCGCGCUCAGACACAAAGACACCUGGCUCCUGCUUAUUUGCAUCCUCUCGCGCUCCCUCUUCCUCCUCGUCUUGCUCCCAGCUCGGAGAGUAAACACACCCACCCACACACAAAAAAAAAAGAAGAGGCAGCUGAAUCCCGUACUGAAUUUUGAUCCUUCUGAAAUUGUCGUCUUGUUGAAGCCACACCCUGAGCUCAUUUUUGUGGGGAUGUUUUUGUGAGUUUAUGCCACAGGUAAUCUUGCACACUUGACAGGAAGCACUUCUUACAGAGAGAUGAAGAAAAUCUGGUCCAAGAAGAGAUUUCAGAGAACUGGGCACUCCACACGGACAUUUGGCAGAUUAACCCAUGUUUUCCGCUCCUGCCGAAAGCAAAGCUAUGGUAAAACCUGCCUGUCUUGAUUCAUCUUUUUCUUUACGUUCCCCUCCCUGACUUCAUCUGUUCAUCCUGCUGAUGUAACGUGAUCGUGCUCUCAAAGGUGUUUAUUUCCAUCUGUAGUUUCUGUUUCAGCCUCUGUUCCCUUUUCCUUUUUCAUCAUCGUCCUCUCAAUCUGUUAUAUUUCAUUUGUCUGCACUGCAACCAGCACCCCAUGUAUUUAUGUUUUCUUUCUGUUUUGAAAUGUUUCACAUUAAAUUAUGAUCAGAAUCAAA